UGUAAACAUCCCCGACUGGAAGCUGUAAGAGAAAUUUUAGCUUUCAGUCAGAUGUUUGCUGC
rnacentral:pre_miRNA from 1 species